GGAAUCUUCCACAAUGGACGCAAGUCUGAUGGAGCAACGCCGCGUGAGUGAAGAAGAUCUUCGGAUCGUAAAACUCUGUUGUUAGAGAAGAACACGAGUGAGAGUAACUGUUCAUUCGAUGACGGCAUCUAACCAGCAAGUCACGGCUAACUACGUGCCAA
rnacentral:rRNA from 1 species